rnacentral:lncRNA from 1 species
GGCAAGUCACGACAACGGACACCACUCCACUCUCUGCAGCAAGCUCCACGUGGCCCUGGGUGACCUCUGAUGCCACUACUCUCCGUAACAAACUCUGCAUGUCUCUGAAUGACCCACUUUCAGACAGUUACAGACGUCACUGUCAGUCAGUUAUGCUCUUCGUCUAUAAAUAAGAACCCCCAGAUACAUUCUUUUCUAAGCUCUAAACUCUAUCUCGAAACUCUGCAAAAAUUUUCGCUCGAGCACUCCAUUUCUAUUGAAGCAGAGUACUGACUUGAGCGUC